UAGAGUUUGAUCCUGGCUCAGGACGAACGCUGGCGGCGUGCCUAACACAUGCAAGUCGAACGGAGAAUCAGCAAUGGUUCUUAGUGGCGAACGGGUGAGUAACGCGUAGACAACCUGCCUUCUAGAUGGGGACAACACUGCGAAAGUGGUGCUAAUACCGAAUGUUGUAUUGGAUCUGCAUGGAUUUGAUACUAAAGGUGGCCUCUGAACAUGCUACCACUAGAAGAUGGGACUGCGUCUGAUUAGCUAGUUGGUGAGGUAAUGGCUCACCAAGGCGAUGAUCAGUAGCCGGUCUGAGAGGAUGAACGGCCACACUGGGACUGAGACACGGCCCAGACUCCUACGGGAGGCAGCAGUGGGGAAUCUUCCGCAAUGGACGAAAGUCUGACGGAGCAACGCCGCGUGAGUGAAGAAGGUUUUCGGAUCGUAAAGCUCUGUCUUUGAGGACGAAUGUGCUUAAUGUGAAUAAUGUUAAGUAAUGACGGUACUCGAGGAGGAAGCCACGGCUAACUACGUGCCAGCAGCCGCGGUAAUACGUAGGUGGCAAGCGUUGUCCGGAAUUAUUGGGCGUAAAGCGCGCGCAGGCGGGAUAUUAAGUCUGUUUUAAAAGUUCGGGGCUCAACCCCGUGAUGGAAUGGAAACUAAUAUUCUUGAGUGCAGGAGAGGAAAGUGGAAUUCCCAGUGUAGCGGUGAAAUGCGUAGAUAUUGGGAGGAACACCAGUGGCGAAGGCGACUUUCUGGACUGUGUCUGACGCUGAGGCGCGAAAGCCAGGGGAGUGAACGGGAUUAGAUACCCCGGUAAUCCUGG
rnacentral:rRNA from 1 species